UACGUAGGGGGCUAGCGUUGUCCGGAAUCAUUGGGCGUAAAGCGCGUGUAGGCGGUCCGGUAAGUCCGCUGUGAAAGUCGAGGGCUCAACCCUCGAAUGCCGGUGGAUACUGUCGGGCUUGAGUACGGGAGAGGCGAGUGGAAUUCCUGGUGUAGCGGUGAAAUGCGCAGAUAUCAGGAGGAACACCAGAGGCGAAAGCGGCGCACUGGACAGCAACUGACACUCAACUGCGAAAGCGUGGGGAGCAAACAGG
rnacentral:rRNA from 1 species